GAUGAACGCUGGCGGCGUGCCUAAUACAUGCAAGUCGAACGAACAGACGAGGAGCUUGCUCCUCUGACGUUAGCGGCGGGCGGGUGAGUAACACGUGGAUCACCUACCUGUAUGACUGGGAUAACUUCGGGACACCGGAGCUAAUACGGGAUAAUAUAUUGCACCGCAUGGUUCAAUGGUGAGAUACGGUUUUGCUGUCUCUUAUAGAUGGAUCCCAGCCGCAUUAGCUGGUUGGUAAGGUAACGGCUUACCAAGGCGACGAUGCGUAGCCGACCUGAGAGGGUGAUAGGCCACACUGGAAGUGAGACAAGGUCCUGACUCCUACGGGAGGCAGCAGUAGGGAAUCUUCCGCAAUGGGCGAAAGCCUUACGGAGUAACGGCGCGUGAGUGAUGAAGGUCUUGGGAUCGUAAAACUCUGUUAUUAGGGAAGAACAAAUGUGUAAGUAACUAUGCACGGCUUGACGGUACCUAAUCAGAAAGCAACGGCUAACUACGUG
rnacentral:rRNA from 1 species